AUCAAGCGGCAUGACUGACGGAAGUGGAGUGACCACGGGGAGUGCCGCCUCUGAGAGCCGACCGUCUGGGCGCACCCG
rfam:Ruminococcaceae bacterium D16 genomic scaffold acsPy-supercont2.2, whole genome shotgun sequence.